rnacentral:lncRNA from 1 species
CUCAGCUAGCUAAUGUUUUAGAAGAGCUGUAUCUUUUUAUGUCUACCAACAAAAGGAUGUAGGAGUUUUGAAUAUUAUGAAGAUAUUAUCUCCCUCCUCGUGUCUCAUUCAAUAAGGCUCCAAUAAACAGCACGUAAAUCCUAACUGUCUGUAAGAGGAAGACAUUUUUGAAGAAGGAUUUCUUGGCAGACUACUCUCCAUUUUGUACCACUUCUUCUUGCCUCGUUCUGUCUUAUUGUCUUCUGUGGGAAGAAAACAGAGAUUUUUCCUCUUUCCACUUUCUUUUUUUUUUUUUUUUUGGCCUGAUCUCAUUCUUGUUGCUGAUACAGAAGAGCACUGAUACAGUGCAGUUCUUCAUUUUGGCAGCAUCUUUAAGAUGGAUUCCGUAGUACGAUCUGAUCAGUGAGAAGUGACCCAGCACCUCAACUUGGAAUACUGGAGCUGACAGACCUGACCUGCCUUCCUGGGGUCUGAUGGAGACACAGCAAGAAUUUAACAAAAUUACUGCCCAGGAGCAGUGGUGACUGAUGUAGGGUCUGCAUGCUGAGCUUUUGACCUGAACCGUUUCUACAGUAACUGUGCAAUGUAUUGUACUCUCUAUUCUCAGGCUCACGCUGGAAGCCAAUUAAAUUAAAAGGCUAUUCAUUUCACCAUAUUUGUCUCCAGGACGCUCAACUAGAAAUGCAAACGAUUCCUGUUCAGAGUUUCCUGCGUCAGAGAAAUUGAUAUUGUACAGUUAAUUUGUGACAACAACAUCAACCAGUAUGUGAUCUCCAGUGACUGAAAAGAUACGUGCAUAGGAUGUAUGCUGACCUUAAAGGACACUGAUUAGUGACAGCAAGGAAUUAAAUCUUCUGAAGGGCAAGGCUUCAAGCCCUCACGGUAGCUCUUUAUUUUGGUUUAAUCAGAUAGCUCACCACUGUAACUUGUGCUUUUUAAGAGCUAGACGUGUCAAUAUCGGGAUACAUGGAUUUGUAAUAUUGAACAGCUGCAGUCUCAGGAAAGCUUGGUGAAAAUCAAAUCUUUAAAAGGUGGCCGAUAGGUGAAGUCAUUCUGGACUAGAAUCAUUCAUCUGCUGGAACUCCUGAUCUUUCCACCAGGUGUGAGCUUGAAGGCGGUUCUCUGGGGAUAUUAAGCCUGAAUUUGAUGCAGCUGAUGGCUACUAUUUGAUGCAGUGACGAUGGCUACUCUUCCUACCUGUUUUGCAAUUUAGACAAUGAGAUCUCCAAGAAGAAAGCUUUGUCUUUAAUCAUAUUUUUUUGCUUGAUUCUCUAAGCAUAACAACCAGCUUCUAAUAAAAACUCCAACUGCUUUUCAAAGCUUUUAUCUUUCUGAAUAACGUUUUCUAAAUUAAGC